CCGAAGCUCAGGAUGCAGCCAUUUUUGGCUGCGUGGUAGGGGAGCGUCGGCAGGCCGGCGAAGCGGCAGCGGAAGCCAGCCGUGGAGGCCUGUCGAGUGCGAAUGUCGGAACGAGUAACAGAGAAGUGGAGUGCGAACCUCCACCACCGGAAGCCUAAGGGUUCCGCCGCAAGGGUGAUCCGCGGCGGGUUAGUCGGGCCUAAGGGGCGCCUCAGCAGGCGUGCACCGAUGGACAACGGGUCGAUAUUCCCGUACUAGCGUGUAGUCGUUUGACCAGAGCCGGAUGCUGAUGGGGAGCUGCUGCGGCGAGACGUGCGCCGUCCAAGCUGGUAGGGAGAGGCUGGUUCAUCCCAGUCUCGUUGACCGAGAGGCGAGAGCGAGGGCAGGUGGCAACACCGCGCCCAAGAGCGGGGCACCUAGGCAGUCGAGAAAGGCCGGCGCGGGAGACUACUGCUACCCGUACCGCAAACCGACACAGGUAGGCUGGCUGAGCAAGCUAAGGUGGACGAGUGAUCUCGGGUUAAGGAACUCGGCAAUUUGACCCCGUACCUUUGGUAGAAGGGGUGCUCCUGGCGGUGACGGCCCUUGCGGCUCGAGCGGCUGGGAGUGGCAGCAAAGCGGCCCAGGCGACUGGAUAACAGAACCACAGGUCCCUGCUAAAGUCGUAAGACGACGUAUAGGGGCUGAUGCCUGGCCAGUGCUGGAAGGUUAAGGGGAGGGGUUGACGCCUCGAACCGAAGCCCCAGUGAACGGCGGCUGUAACUAUAACAGUCCUAAGGUAGCGAAAUUCCUUGUCGGGUAAGUUCCGACCCGCACGAAAGGCAUCACGAUCUGGGCAGUGUCUCAACCCGAGGCUCGGUGAAACUGCGAUCACGGUUAGGACGCCGUGAACCCGUAGCAGGACAAAAAGACCCCAUGGAGCUUUACUACAGCUUGCCAUUGGAUGCGGUCCACGGCUGCGUAGCAUAGGUGGGAGCCUAGGAGGCCGCCCUUGCGGGGGCGGCGGAGGCAGCAGUGAAAUACCACUCUGUCGUGGAUUGCGUCCUCACAUGUUUGACACAUGGACCGUGGCUGGUGGGUAGUUUGUCUGGGGCGGACGCCUCCCAAAAGGUAACGGAGGCGCGCAAUGGUUCCCUCACGCGGGAUGGCAACCCGCGGUUGAGUGCAAAGGCACAAGGGAGCUUGACUGCAAGGCAAACCGGCCGCGCAGAGACGAAAGUCGGCCUUAGUGAUCCUACGGCGCCGAGUGGAAGGGCCGUAGCUUAUCGGAUAAAAGCUACCCUGGGGAUAACAGGCUGAUCCUGCCCAAGAGUUCACAUCGACGGCAGGGUUUGGCACCUCGAUGUCGGCUCGUCGCAUCCUGGGGCUGGAGUCGGUCCCAAGGGUUGGGCUGUUCGCCCAUUAAAGCGGCACGCGAGCUGGGUUCAGA
rnacentral:rRNA from 1 species